AUUCGUCUGGCUUACAACAAUUAAUCACAUCCAUCAAAUAUUUAAACUCCAUUUUUAAGGUUCCAUUUCAAGACUUGUUCUUUUUACCCCAUUACCUGUCUAAAUCUAACGCCAGUGCCACACAUCACAUGUUGUGAUUGACUCUCUCUCUCUCUCUAUUCUCUCUUGUCAACCCAAGAGAGAAAACAAGGGCUUCACCCAUCACCAACAAGUUUUCAAGGUGAUUGUUGCUUAGGUGAUGGGCAAGCAUCAACGUUGUCCUUGUGACGGCCAUGAUCAUUCUAACAGCAAUGGAAGAAAGAAGAAACGCCUGCGCAAUCCGAAAAGGGCAUGCCAUUGCUUUGCAGUGUCCUCAAUAUUUAGAGGGAUAGGGAGAUGCAUGUUUGUGACUUGUUUCCCUGUCAUGCGGUGCUUUGGAUUGGAUGAGUGCAGACACCGCCACCACCACCAUCACCACCACCGCAGACAUUUCCACGAGUUUUCAUGAUAUUGGGAUUGACUUUGCAAUAUUUAUUUUGCUGGUGGAGAAGUUUGAAGUUUUGCUGCAUUUUUCUUUUUAUAUUUGGUGUCGGAUCCUCUGAGGAAAAACACGAAUUUGGGCGGUAAAUAUGGGAUCAGAUGCGCCUCAUCAAUCAAUCACCACUUUGUUUGGUUCUUGUGUAAAUAUGCAUGUCAAGGAAGAUCAAGGCUGCAAAAAAACAUCCAGUUUACCUUAUACGGGUGAUUGCACGCACCUGAGAUUUACUUUCAAGGUCUUGUAUCCAAUGAGGAAGUGAAUCAUGCGCGAUGUUUUCCUGGUUAUCCUGCAGAAGAUCAAGGUUGGGGUCCUUGGGGAGAAGAACAUGUUUAGAAAUGUAGAAAAUUUGGGAUUUGGCAUAUGUCAAGGGCUACAAGAGUCCAAAUUCCGUCAAUUUAGAAUCGCUGCAGUUAGGAAUUUUGAUUGUAUAUCCUCAUGAUUCUAUAGCUUUUUCUUUGUAAAUUAUUGAACAACAAUGAUUGAAUUUAGACUCCAAUUUUCGUA